AUGGAUGGGCUCCUUCACUGGGAUUUCAACCCUGGCCUUGCAGUGGCCGAUCAGGUACGUCGUCAGUUUGGAGAGACGGUGCACUUCUCUCCUUCACGCAAGACCAAGGAGUUUUUCUUGGUUGUCUCCUUCUCCUCAGCCUCUUUCCCCCUCAAUGAGGAAUCUGUCGGUGUGGCUCUCCAAUGUUGCAUUGGUGGUCAUCACCUUGGUUUUAAAGUUUCUAAGAUUUUUGAGAGAUCAUUUCGCUUCUAA
rnacentral:rRNA from 1 species